rnacentral:ncRNA from 1 species
AAUGAUAGAGGAGCGUUUCCGAUCAGUAUCCCGCGCCGAGGUAUCCGCGAUCACCGUUGAGGCUGGGGAGAAAGGCGAGAGACGCCGAAGAUCUGACCGCCGUGCGGGGCGUCAGCAUCUGGUCCGUCCGACCGAAAGGCGGCGGACUGUCACCGGCGCCGUCCGGUGGAGGGCUAUCUGU